rnacentral:rRNA from 1 species
GGGGGGGGGGGGGGGGGGGCGGUGGGGGGGCAGGGCGGAGGGUGGCGGGCCUGGGGGUGCUGACGAGUGGAGAACGGGUGAGUAAUGCAUCGGGACGUGCCCCGGGGGGGGGGAUAACGCAGCGAAAGCUGUGCUAAUACCGCAUGUGGUCUGGGGAUGAAAGCGGGGGACCAGGCAGCAAUGUUUGGCCUCGCGCCUUUGGAGCGGCCGAUGUUAGAUUAGGGAGGUGGUGGGGUAAAGGCCUACCAAGCCGACGAGCUGUAGCUGGUCUGAGAGGCCGACCAGCCACACUGGGACUGAGACACGGCCCAGACUCCUACGGGAGGCAGCAGUGGGGAAUUUUGGACAAUGGGCGCAAGCCUGAUCCAGCAAUGCCGCGUGCGGGAAGAAGGCCUUCGGGUUGUAAACCGCUUUUGUACGGAACGAAAAGGCUCUGGCUAAUACCUGGGGCUGAUGACGGUACCGUAAGAGUAAGCACCGGCUAACUACGUG